rnacentral:rRNA from 1 species
UACGUAGGGUGCGAGCGUUGUCCGGAAUUAUUGGGCGUAAAGAGCUCGUAGGCGGCUUGUCGCGUCGGACGUGAAAGCCCGGGGCUUAACUCCGGGUCUGCAUUCGAUACGGGCAGGCUAGAGUUCGGUAGGGGAGAUCGGAAUUCCUGGUGUAGCGGUGAAAUGCGCAGAUAUCAGGAGGAACACCGGUGGCGAAGGCGGAUCUCUGGGCCGAUACUGACGCUGAGGAGCGAAAGCGUGGGGAGCGAACAGG